rnacentral:tRNA from 1 species
CAGGGAGACAACAAAAUGUUUUAUAUUAUUAUUUUGUCACCUUAGGUCGAUCGGUAUCUCACAUUUUUAAUUAAUUAAGAAUUUUAUUUCCUAAGUUUUUCUAGGUCACACCCAUUAUUUUUCCUGGGCCAUUAGCUCAGGUGGUUAGAGCGCACCCCUGAUAAGGGUGAGGUCCCUGGUUCAAGUCCAGGAUGGCCCAUAUCUCUAUGUUGGGGGUAUAGCUCAGUUGGUAGAGCGCCUGCUUUGCAAGCAGGAUGUCAGCGGUUCGAGUCCGCUUACCUCCACUGAUUACCACCUCUUCCAUAAUCUGUAGAAGGGAAAUGUUUUGAGUUGUGAUCAAAUACUGAACGAAUCUAGCUUCCUAAUGAAAUCAUUAAGAUGCUGGACUCAUUGAUUUAAUAUCAUUGUUUUCAGAGAACCUUGACAACUGCAUAGAUUAUUUUUAAAGACAAUAAGCAUCUUUAAUGAUGCAGAUUUAUUAUUUGUGCGAAUGCAUUAAUAACAAUUCUAUUAAGCUGAUGCUUCAAUUUUGAAGUUAUU